rnacentral:rRNA from 1 species
UUUAAAGUCUAGCCUGCCCACUGAAAUUAUUUUAAAUGGCCGCAGUAAUUUGACUGUGCAAAGGUAGCAUAAUAAUUAGUUUUUUAAUUAAGAGCUAGUAUGAAAGGUUGGACGAAGUAAAUUCUGUCUCUAUUUAAUUUAAAUUAGAAUUUAAUUUUUAAGUUAAAAAGCUUAAAUGUUUAUAAAAGACGAGAAGACCCUAUAGAGCUUUAUAUUUUUAAUAAUAUAAUUAUAUUAAGAUUUAAUUAUUUUUUAUUAUUAAAAUUAUUUUAUUGGGGUAAUAGAAAGAUUUAAAUAAUUCUUUUUUAUUAUUUAUAUUUAUUUAUAGAAUUAUUGAUCCAAUUUUAUUGAUUAUAAGAUUAAGUUACCUUAGGGAUAACAGCGUAAUUUUUUUGAAGAGUUCUUAUCGAUAAAAAAGUUUGCGACCUCGAUGUUGGAUUAAAGAUUAUUUUUGGUGUAGAAGUUAAAAAUUUUGGUCUGUUCGACCAUUGAAUCUUUACAUGAUCUGAGUUCAGACCGGUGUAAGCCAGGUCGGUUUCUAUCUUUAUUUUUGUAUAAUAUUUUAGUACGAAAGGACCAAAUAUUAAAUAUAUUAAUAUUUAUAUAUUGAAUAUUAUU